rnacentral:sRNA from 1 species
GUUUAGUCCCGAUUGAAGUGAAAAUCCCACGCUUUUGGGACUGGAUUGUAACGAAAAGCAGGGCAGGGA